UGAGGAAUAUUGGACAAUGGGUGAGAGCCUGAUCCAGCCAUCCCGCGUGCAGGAAGACGGCCUUAUGGGUUGUAAACUGCUUUUAUAUAGGAAUAAACAUGCCCUCGUGAGGGUACUUGAAGGUACUAUAUGAAUAAGCAUCGGCUAACUCCGUGCCAGCAGCCGCGGUAAUACGGAGGAUGCGAGCGUUAUCCGGAUUUAUUGGGUUUAAAGGGUCCGUAGGCGGGCUAAUAAGUCAGUGGUGAAAUCGUGCAGCUUAACUGUGCCACUGCCAUUGAUACUGUUAGUCUUGAGUGAAUUUGAAGUUGCCGGAAUAUGUAGUGUAGCGGUGAAAUGCAUAGAUAUUACAUAGAACACCUAUUGCGAAGGCAGGUAACUAAGAUUUAACUGACGCUGAUGGACGAAAGCGUGGGGAGCGAACA
rnacentral:rRNA from 1 species